rnacentral:pre_miRNA from 1 species
GGGUGGUCGGGAUGCGUGCCAGAAGCGCGUUUACAUACAGUGUCAUUCAUCUGUAAAUGCACUAUCUGGUACGACAUUGCGCCAUUC